GGAUAUUUCAUCCCGGUUGACAGGGCUGAAAUUCAGGCCGGGUUGAAAUUUUCAUCCCGGUUUAUGUCACCCAGGAUGAGAUUUUCAGCCCUGUCAACCCGGAUGAAAUAUCCCAUGCGUAAUUGCAAAUAAUUAUGCAACCACAGUCUUACACAAGUCAAAUAGUCGACUAAUUAAUCGGCGUUUUAAGAGGCUGUCUCCG